GCUAAUGACCUAUAUUUUCUAAAGACACCAGAUUCCACCUGAUCUUGGUAGCUAAGUAGGUCAGUCCUGGUUAUUAUAUUUGGAUGGGAGAUUGCCAGCAAAUUCCAGGUGCUGUAGGCU
rnacentral:rRNA from 1 species